rnacentral:lncRNA from 12 species
GGAAGCCAGACAAAUAAAAUUUACAAAUGGCCAUGCGAUCUCUUACAGGAAAAUUAAGGUGGAUUGUUAAGAAUCCGUUUCUUUGUGGAAAAAAGUAAAUGAAAUUUUUACUCCCAGAACCCAGCUGUUAAGCUUCACUGUGUUUUUGGGAUGUUUCUUAUGUGAUUGUGUUUGUGUGUGGACAGGGAUGUAUUGAGAACAGGGAUCACAAUCAGCCUAAAAAUGAACAAUUUGUGUUUGUUACUUGAAAGCUGCAACUAUCUCAAUUAUAGCAUGAAGGAUUAGUCAGUCAAUUAGAAUUCAGUAUAUGACUAUUAAUUCAUUCGUUUAAUAGCUCAUUAAACUCAAAGCUUUCUGCAUUAAAUAUUGUGAAAAAUAUGCAUUACAAUCUAUUGUAGUUUUUCCCUAAUGGUUGUACUUGUAUUAUUCGUUAACAGUCAAGACAAUAACUAUAAUUUAGCUGGGCAGAUGUCUAAACUGUUUGCUCCAUGUAUCAUACUUCCCAAAAUCCUUGUUAUCAUUAUCACAGCCUGAGACACAAACUCCCCAUCGCUCAUCAGUUUCUACCCUUCUUCAAUACAGUGUCUGCAUGUCUGGAUGGGUGAGAGAGGGAUGUGCCUUAGGAGGUGACCAUGUCACUAUGCGUCCCAUCAGUCCUUGGGGUGGCAGAUGGAGGCCUUGGAAGAUUGCAAAAUUGCAUCUGUAGGUGGUACCAAGGUGAAAAGAAGAAUAGCUACUUUACUCAGGCUUACUUGGAUUACACAACUCGCAUGCAAUUUUAUUGCCAGACCAUUCUCUAGUGGUAAGCUUUGUUUCUGAUCUCAAGAUGUCCUGACUUUAAAAGUGAUUUAUUUAUUUAUUUAUUUUUUUAAAUAAAUGCUUUCUCCUGUUCCAGUUUUAAGGCAUUUGUAGGUUGUUGACUUGAGUGUCAAGUCUGGCACUUUUUAAACAUGUGCUCACGGGUACAUGCUCAAUGCAUGCGCACCUCAACUGCUUUGUAAUUCUCUACCUAUCCUACAGAUGACAGCAUCAUGUUGAGUACAAGAGCAGGUAUCUUCUGACCCCCAUGUACAUUCAUUAUUGUAGUUUCCACCAUUAUUGCAUUUUCCAUAUUUCUUGACUAGUUCUUAAAAGGAUAUUCCAGGUGUAAUAUAAGUAAAUAAAAGUUAAGCUAAACUGACAGCAUGUGUGGUGUAAUGUUGAUUAGCCAAAAAAUUAAAAAUAAA